CCACAGAUCUAUAUUCAUAUAUUUAUAGGUGUGUUACAGCAGUGAGUCUAUAUUACAAGUUACCAUGCACUUGCACGUAUAAUAUAACUACUAUUUGAGCUAACUAACUAAUUUCACAACAACUUCUCAGCUAACUAAAGGCUUCUAUUCAAUACAACCCUUGCUCAAAUGAAGCUACCCCUUUUCAAUGGGAAACUUAGAUGUCAGAUACUCAAAUCUUGAAAUAGACACCGGCUUGGUGAAUAUAUCUACUACUUGAUCCUCUGUAGGCACAUAUUGAACGUCCAAUUCCUUUUUUAUCACUUUAUCUCGCACAUGUGUAUCAAUUUCAAUAUGUUUGGUCCUUGCAUGAAGAACCAAAUUGGCUGCAAUGGCAGCUGCACUCUUGUUACCACACCAGAUGAGAGACAAUUGAGAAAUAGAAAAACCAAGUUCUUGUAGCAAUGACUUGAUCCAAAUAAACUCAACUGCAGUAUCAACAAGAGCACUGUAUUCAGACUCAGUGGAGCUUCUUGAAACCACAUUCUACUUCUUGGAGCUCUAGGAUAACAGAUUGGAUCCAAGAAAUAUACAGAACAUCUCGGUGGACUUUCGAUCAUCCAAUGAACCAGCCCAAUAAGCAUUUGCAAAACCUUGGAGACAGAGAUAAGAUGACGAUUUGAAGAUGAGAUUCUGAUUGAUGGAGCCUUUAAGAUACCUCAAGAGCCAUUUGCAAGCCUUCCAAUGAAGUUCAGUUGGAGAUUGCAUGAGUUUACUAAGUUUAUUGACCAUAAACAAAAUAUCAGGUCUAGAUAAAGUGAGAUAUUGCAGUGCACCCACAACAUUUCUAUAGAGAGUAGGAUUAGAGAAGGGACUGCUAUCUUUUAGGAAAAGUUUGGAGCCACUAUCAUAAGGAGUAGGUUGUAGCUUACUAUCUGAGAGAUUAGUUCGAGCCAGUAAAUCUCUUAUAUAUUUGGACUGAUUGAGCAUAUAGGUAUAAGAUGGUGUGCGAAGUAACUUGAAUUCCCAUUUAGAAAUGCAUUGUUUAUGUCUAUGUGUUGUAUAUCCCAAUGAAAUGUAGAGGCUAGAGAGAACAUUAACCUCACAGAGACAAGUUUCACCACUGGACUGAAGGUCUCUGAGAAAUCCACACCUGCCCUUUGUUGAAAACCUUUAGCCACCAACCUUGAUUUAAGCCUAUCAAGAGAGCCAUCUGCAUUCUUUUUCACCCUGAAAACCCAUUUACACUGAAUAACAUUCAUAUAACCUCUGUACGGAACACGCUCCAAAGUAGAUUUGUCAAUAAUUGCUUUAAAUUCUUGUUCCAUGGCUUUAAGCCAAAUAGACUCUUUGAGCUAUAUUACAAACUACCAUGCACUUGCAUGUAUAAUAUAACUACUCUUUGAGCUAACUAACUAAUUUCAUAACAACUUCUCAGCCAACUAACGGCUUCUAUUCAAUGCCCUUUGCCCUAUAUAUAUAGGUUGAUAGAAAUUUACACAAAAUUUUUCAAAAAAUCAACGAAAAUAAAAAUAUACAAGUAAACUUCUUAAUAUGUCCAUAUUUAUUAUUGAAAAUAUGCAUUCAUGUAUCCAUAUUGAGCAAUGAAACUCAAUUUUCGGCCACCCAUCUAAAAAAUAUAAAUUAUGACCAUUUAUUAUAAUUUAGGUCUAAAAUACCCUUGACCCCGCGGAUCCUACUCUACCCAUCCCAUCCCAACCCGUAUACGUGAUUCUCUCUCUGUCUCUCUCCUCUUUCUUUUGGCACAAAUGGACAUAAUUGUGUCAAGUAUAUCUAAUGAAUGGUACAAUUGACACGAAUUUACCCAUUUGUACCAACUAUACCAUCAUUCAAUCUUCAGUCAGAUUUGGCACAAAUAGACAUAAUUGUGCCAAGUAUACUGUAUACCUAAUGAAUCCCACAAUUGACACGAAUUUGCCUAUUUGUACCAACUGUACCAUCAUAACCCCAACCUGAACCCGAAGCCCAACCUACGCACAAACCCGCAAUUAAGGGCAAACCAGUCAUAAAAUGUAAAAAAAUUACCAAUUUUUUUGUUUUUUAGAUAGGAAGCCAAAUAUUGAGUUUCAUUGCUCAAUAUGACUAUCUCAAAAGUUGACUCUUAUUAUUUAAUGAUGAAUUAAAGUUGGUGUAUAUUAAAGAAUUAAAUAGGGACAUAACAAUAAAUUUACUUAAAAAUACUACUACUUUUUUUUUUUAUGAAAACAAGUCUAUAUAUUUGGGACAUCGAAAAAGGAAAAUAAGCCUAUAUAAAUGGGACAGAGGGAGUAUAUUAUUUCACAUUUUCUCUCUCCUCUCUUUAUCAUACGUUUUCUCACUUCUAUUCUUCUAUACAAUUCUAUUCUUCUAUUCUCUUUUUCAUAUUUUUAUGAUUUUCUAAAAAUCUUUAAAUUUGAUUUACAGAAAGAUAUUCAAUAUGCAUCUUAAAUUAAAGAUAACUCUUGUGGUAUAAAUACUUGUGUGCUAUAACACUCAAAUUGGAUUCACAAUGAGAUACGUUCUAAAUGAUUGACAAUAUUUAGAUCGAAAUAUCAUAAAACAGUUAUAUUUCUUAUUUUAUACUCCUCCUGUCCACGAAAUAAGUACCUAUUUGCCUCUAAAUUUCUGUCCAUGAAUUAAGUACCUACUAUGCUUUAUGAACAUUUAUACCCUCACUUACUUUUUAAAUUUACUACCCUUUAACAAAUAGGCCCACCAUACUCUUACUUAACACCACUAAUUAAACUCUCUUAACUAUAUGGCCCACUUUAUUUGAUUAUCAGAUUGGAUCAAUUUCCUUUUUCGGCCCACUUUAGCUAAGGUUUUCACCACCUAUUCAUAUCACAAUUCCCCUAAUGAGGAAAUAAAAAUUUCUUUGCCGAAAACACUAAAUUCUCAAUCCCUUCUCUGCCAAUUCUGAAAUCUUCGAUCUUCUUCUUCGCCCAACCCUUAUCUGUCGAUGGAUGAUGCUCCUACGUCUCCUCCCAUUUAUUCAAGGGAUUGGGAGUACGAAUCGGUGGAAAUCGAGGGUGGAUCUGGGCUCCCCUCCAUGGAAGCAGUUGCCAUGUCGUAUGUGGCGUUCCUGGGGUGGGUGGCGCCGGAAUCAAAUCCAUGGUGGCGGAAACCAAAUCCAUGGUGCCAUCGACUGGAUUUGUUGAAGAGCGAUUGACUUGAUAUGUUGACCAAUCGGUUUCUGUGGCUGAAUCUCGAUGAUUGAAAGUCUCGGUGACUCACACUCCUCUAUUGAUGGCUCCAGCGUUUGGAUUUGUUCACGAAGCUGAUUUCUAUGACUUUUCACAGUAUGAAGUCGAAAAGUACACGAAGUAUGUGGGCCUUUCGGAGUCUACGAUGCCAGACAGUGGCUAUGACGUAUGGGUGGCUACCAGUGGCCACAUCCCUGAUGAAGAGCCAUCGCCGUUCGUGAGAAUGGAGUAUGAACCCUGUGCGCACCGUCGCCGUCUUCAAAUCCUAGGAAUUUAUUUUCCUACGCUGCUAGAUUUGAGCUAAUAAGGGUUCGAAUCCUGGAGGGAACAGAAUUUUUUAAAUUUUGUUAUUCAUCAGUAUAUAUGUCUUAUUCAUUACCAAUUUUUUAAAUUUUAUUUUUCAUCAGUAUAUACAUUUUGUUCGUUA